GUCACAGUCACUGUGAAUGGAGAAUUCAACAACCACCCCAACAGGAAUGACACAGCCCUGUUAUACACUCCUGGGGAUCCUUACAUACCACUGUAUGUAGUGGGAACCUUGUUCUUCUCCUGCCUGUUUGUUACUGCCAUUGUCAUUGUCAUGAUGAAAAAUACCAAGAUUACGCAAGGUGAGUAAAAACCCACAUAUUGUAUGUGCUAUCAUCAGGUAUGUAUU